rnacentral:snoRNA from 1 species
UGGCUAUGAUGAGCUGUGGUUGGUCCGUGUUACUGAUUGGUUAGUGAUCUUAACUCAACCCUCUGAGCCU